AGUGAAUAGAUACCCUGGUAGUCCUAGCCGUAAACGAUACUCGCUAGGUGUCGGCCACGGUGCGACCGUUGUCGGUGCCGUAGGGAAAGCCGUGAAGCGAGCCACCUGGGAAGUACGGCCGCAAGGCUGAAACUUAAAGGAAUUGGCGGGGGGAGCACCACAACGGGUGGAGCUUGCGGUUUAAAUUGGAUUCAACGCCGGAAAUCUUACCGGGACCGACAGCAAUAUGAAGGCCAGGCUGAAGACUUUGCCGGAUUAGCUGAGAGGUGGUGCAUGGCCGUCGUCAGUUCGUACUGUGAAGCAUCCUGUUAAGUCAGGCAACGAGCGAGACCCACGCCCACAGUUGCCAGCGUACUCUCUGGAGUGACGGGUACACUGUGGGGACCGCCGCUGCUAAAGCGGAGGAAGGAAUGGGCAACGGUAGGUCAGUAUGCCCCGAAUAUCCCGGGCUACACGCGAGCUACAAUGGUUGGUACAAUGGGUAUCUACCCGAAAGGGGAUGGAAAUCUCCUAAAGCCAAUCUUAGUUCGGAUUGAGGGCUGCAACUCG
rnacentral:rRNA from 1 species